ACCUUGCUGAUGAGUGCCAAGUAGCACGAAACGCGGGUCCAGGGU
rnacentral:hammerhead_ribozyme from 1 species